rnacentral:tRNA from 1 species
GGGGGUGUAGCUCAGUCUGGCAGAGCAUCUGGUUUGCAACCAGAAGGUCGUCGGUUCGAAUCCGAUCGCCUCCA